CUGUGUAUCAGCCAGACUGGGCCGGGGUUCACAGAGGAGGCUAGAACUCAAGACACGGGGUGUCCACAGCACCUGCUUACAUUCGCCCAGAGGAUACCAUUUCCUCUUCUUUGCCAUCAUCCAUGACGACAGUGCCAUGUGAUAAUGUACUAUUUCCAGUCUGGAAGGUCAAAGGGAGUGAAAAUUGAAGCUGACGCCACAUGAAAAAGCCUGUGAUUGUGACAGCGGAAGUAGUGCACCUGGGACCUGCCACCAAUUUGCAAAAGGAUAUGGUGCAGAGCAGUUGGCAUAAUGGCUAUGUUGCUG